GCUGGGCAUGGUGGCGCAGGCCUGUAGUCCUAACUACUCGGGAGGCUGAGGCAUGAGAAUUGCUUGAAUCCGGGACGUGUAGGUUGCAGUGAGCCAGGAUUGUUCCACUGCACUCCAGCCUGGGUUCCAGAGCAAGAUCCUGUCUCAG
ensembl:misc_RNA Metazoa_SRP Metazoan signal recognition particle RNA